CUCACUCUGUUGCCCAGGCUGGAGUACACUGGUGCGACCUUGGCUCACUGCGACCUCCGCCUCCGCCUCCCGGGUUCAAGGGAUUCUCCUGCCUUCGCCUCCCUAGUAGCUGGGAUUACAGGUGUGCACCAUCACGCCUGGCUUAUUUUUGUAUUUGUAGUAGAGACAGGGUUUCGCCACAUUGGCCAGGCUGGUUUCUAACUCCUGACCUCAAGUAAUCCACCCGCCUUAGCUUCCCAAAGUGCUGGGAUUACAGGUGUGAGCCACCGUGCCCAGCCAAUAACUUCUCUUCUAACAAAAAUCAGCCGGAAAAAUUGAGCUGCAGACAUAGAUAAGCAUGCAGGAGUGAAUGCUAGCAGCUAUGCCAAUAGAAAAAGGCUACCUGGAAGCCAGGUAUGUUCAAAAUAGAGGCUCCAUCUUCCCUUUUGUUUGUCACUAUGUAUGCAGUAAAGAAGCAGGCAACAUGGCACCAAAUGCAGAGAAGCAUCUGCAGAACAAAAGAUUAGGCUGAGGUGGCCAGAUUUUUGCAUGCUGUGCAAGUGGAACACCUGGUCUGACCAAUUUUUCAUGCCCUAUGUAAAUCAGACACCAUCUCCUUAUGCUCAUCUAUAAAACCCGCUGCAUUCUACCAGCAGCCCAUUUCUUGGGGCCCUUCUCUCUGCAGCAGAGAGAGCUCUUCUCUUUCUUUCACCUGUUACACUUCCACUCUGAACCUCAUUCGUUGUGUCUGCUUCACAUUGCCCCUUUGCCUUUAUUUCUGCUGGAAUUGUAGGGGCAGAAACUUUAUGUGACCCAUCGUAAUGUUACAGUAGAUAGGCACCAGUUGGGGCAGGAGAGGGCCCUUCCCCCACCCACUAGAAAUGUCAGGUGAUAAUUCAGCAAUGACUACAUUGCCUCUCUAAAAGUGAUAAAUAGGCAGCUGGCGCCAGGGAGAGGCCAGUUCCUGAUGGUCCACACCUGUUCCACUAAAGUAUUAAUUGAAUGCAGAUGUCCGGGAGAAGCAACUUCCUGGGCAUGUGCAUUAAGAGACAAAAUGGCGGAGUAUGACCUUCCAGGGGCACGCCACGGGAAAAGGGAAGAAAGCCUCAGGUUUCCCUGGACCCUUGAAGCAUGACAAGAGAUCUAUGAAAGGCUAAAUUCCUGUUGCUAGCAAAGAAAGAUGAAGCUGUGAUGAGAAGCGUAAGAUCCCUGGCUGCAUGACGGGUAUCAAUCAAGAGAUGGAGUGAAGACAUAAAAAGGCUACUCAGUGGUAAUAAUGACUCUGUGCUACCUCCUAGGCAGCCUAGUCUCACAGAGGUCCAGCGACCAGAAGGACUGUGUACUGGCAGCUUUCACAAAGGUGGACUUUGUCAAGUCUGAGGAGUCUUCAUCAAGUGUGAAACUUGGUGCACAAGCAUUUGUAUCACUCCAUUUAAACACUGCUCCUAAUAUCAUAAAGCUGUUCAAUGUCCAAAAACUGGUGACAUACAAUGUACUUAAAAGCUACUCAAUAAAAGAAUCUUCAAAAACCAUGUAAGAGACAAAAAGACAUAAAUGUUUAAUAAAAUGUGUUGAGAGUGUUGAUGUACUUAGGGGAGUUAUUAAAAUUACAAAGACAAUUCUACCAGAAACAAUAAUAGUUGAGGCUCCUGAAGUAAGUAUAAGGUUGUUUAUAAC